rnacentral:rRNA from 1 species
UACAGAGGUCUCAAGCGUUGUUCGGAUUCAUUGGGCGUAAAGGGUGCGUAGGCGGCGCGGUAAGUCGGGUGUGAAAUCUUGGAGCUUAACUCCGAAACUGCAUUCGAUACUGCCGUGCUUGAGGACUGGAGAGGAGACUGGAAUUUACGGUGUAGCGGUGAAAUGCGUAGAUAUCGUAAGGAAGACCAGUGGCGAAGGCGGGUCACUGGCCCGGUACUGACGCUGAGGCGCGAAAGCGUGGGGAGCAAACAGG